rnacentral:rRNA from 1 species
AUUAGCGAGUUAAUCAUAAACUCCAAAACCCCUGUGAACUUACCUAUGUUGCCUCGGCAGGUCGUGGUGUGUAGCGGUGACCACUGGGUCGCUUGCCUCGCACCACGCUGAAAAGACCUGUCAAAGGACCCCUAAACUCUGUUUUUACAACUGUAUCUCUGAGUCUAUUAUACAAAUAAGUUAAAACUUUCAACAACGGAUCUCUUGGCUCUGGCAUCGAUGAAGAACGCAGCGAAAUGCGAUAAGUAAUGUGAAUUGCAGAAUUCAGUGAAUCAUCGAAUCUUUGAACGCACAUUGCGCCUGAUAGUAUUCUGUCAGGCAUGCCUGUUCGAGCGUCAUUUCAACCCCCAAGCCCUAUUUGCUUGACGUUGGGAGUUUACGGAGACGUAAUUCCUCAAAUAUAGUGGCGGAGCUAGGUCGUGCUCUAAGCGUAGUAACCACAAUUCUCGCUUCUGCAGCCGGCUUAGGUCCUGCCGUAAAACCCCUAUAUUUUUUUAUUGGUUGACCUCGGAUCAGGUAGGAAUACCCGCUGAACUUAAGCAUAUCAAUAAGCGGAGGAAAAGAAACCAACAGGGAUUGCCCUAGUAACGGCGAGUGAAGCGGCAACAGCUCAAAUUUGAAAUCUGGCCCUCGGGUCCGAGUUGUAAUUUGCAGAGGAUGCUUUUGGCGCGGUGCCUUCCGAGUUCCCUGGAACGGGACGCCUUAGAGGGUGAGAGCCCCGUACGGUUGGACACCAAGCCUCUGU